rnacentral:lncRNA from 1 species
UCCCCCCAUUAUCCCCCCUUGUUUGCCCCCCAUCCCCCUUUAGCCCCCCCCUCGACGCCCCGCCCCCCUUUGCGUGCCCCCCUCGCCCCCUCGCCCCCCCCAUUGUAUCUCGCGCCCCCUAUAUAUCACCCCCUAUUAUCCCCCGACCCCCUCAACUUCGCCCCAUUAUCCCCCCUUUAUCCCCCCCAUCCCCCUUUAAACCCCCCCCCCCCUUGUGCCCCCCCCCCCCUUUGUGCCCCCCCCCCUCCCGCCCCCCCCCCGCUUGCUCGGCGCAGGUUCCGAUGGCCGGGCUCCGGAGCGGGAGCGGCGCUGGGCGCAGAUCUGAGCAUGUCCCGGCCCCACGACGAGGGGGAGCGACACGGGGGGAGCAGCAGCAGCAGCAGCAACAACAGCAGCACAGACACAGAAAGAAAUGGACCCGACACGAACCACCAGGUGAGCUAUGGGGCGCUAUGGGGCGCUAUGGGGC